UACGGGGGGGGCAAGCGUUGUUCGGAAUUACUGGGCGUAAAGGGUUCGUAGGUGGCCAACUAAGUCAUACGUGAAAUCCCUCAGCUUAACUGGGGAACUGCGUCUGAUACUGGUUGGCUUGAGUGCAGGAGAGGAACGCGGAAUUCCAGGUGUAGCGGUGAAAUGCGUAGAUAUCUGGAGGAACACUGGUGGCGAAGGCGGCGUUCUGGACUGCAACUGACACUGAGGAACGAAAGCCAGGGGAGCAAACGGG
rnacentral:rRNA from 1 species